AGACGUCUACAUUAGAUACCCCCGUAGUCCCAGCCGUAAACUAUGCGCGUUAGGUGUAUCGGUGACCACGAGUUACCGAGGUGCCGAAGGGAAACCGUGAAACGUGCCGCCUGGGAAGUACGGUCGCAAGGCUGAAACUUAAAGGAAUUGGCGGGGAGCACCACAACAGGUGGAGCCUGCGGUUUAAUUGGACUCAACGCCGGGAAGCUCACCGGAUAGGACAGCAGAAUGAUUGCCGGGCUGAAGACUCUGCAUGACUAGCUG
rnacentral:rRNA from 1 species